GCCCCACACACCUUCCCAGUUUGYCAAAGGAAGGUUUAAGGGCACGACUCAAGCCGGAGUUUCCCAUGGAGCACUCGAGAGCAUGGAUGCAUCCUUUCAGCCAAGCCUCUUAUAAACACCCAUCCACAGCAGAGGUCAAACUAAAACGAUGUCCAGCUGGCAAGGAAAGCUUUCCACACCUCAGAAACCCUGCUCCUAGAGAAGGUGUGCUUCUAAAGGCACUGAAACGCCAAGRCCUCGUGGAUGACCUCACCACCGACAAUGCAAUGGUCACCCAGRUGGCGGAGGACACUGUCCAAGAUGUUCUGGCGAGGGCAGAAUGUCUGGGAGCCUCCAUCUGCAUUAUAAAGAAGGCUCCUCUGGAGCGCAGGGAGAAACUGUCCUGAAGGGUUUUUACAAUAGCACGGUCCCCUCAGGAAUUCCAGGCAGAGCCUCUGAGAAACAGGGGGCUAGUUGCAGAAGAGAUUCCAUCUCUUGGUUUGGCAGUGGGAGAACAAAAGCCCUCUCAUCUUGCUUCAACUUCCCUUCAACUAUGCAGGAGGGAUGUUUGUGCCCUGAGUGGGGGAACUGAAGAACGUGUCUGCUCCACGCCUGCAGUCAGGCCUCGGUCUUCCAGGCAAGCGCUGGGAAAACCAUGGCUGUUGCAAGGACCCGUAAAGAGGAGAACUCUUCYCCCAAUUAACCAGCAGCUUUCCGGGCAAUCCUGCUCCUCCCCAGGAGCCCAGAGGGUGCCUAAAGGGGAGAACCAAGGCGGGCCAGCAUAUGAGGAGCAGGGCAAACCCUGGGCAAYCUGCCCAACACUGCCAAGGCUGCAACAGGUGCCAGCUGGGGUUGAUUUGGGUGAGCUUUUUGAGGAAACAUGCAAUGAGCUAAGGAGCAGGUUGCUGCCAGCUUCCAAAGACACCUGCGCCCAGCGGGCCAAGGCACAGCCCUUGGACACAGCAGCACACGGCAAUGACUCUCUGCUAAGUGACUUCUCAGCAUGCCAAAGAAGAGAGCAGCAUCCUCCUGAACGGCAAGUGUCCCCCGCUGAGAAAUUCAGAAGCAGCAUCAUGACGGAGCUGUCUCGAGGGCAAGGUCCAGCUCCCCUGUGUGAGGAGUGCUUGGGUGCAGACAGUGAUGUUCUUCCUCAGAGCAUGGUGCAGUCGGUGUGUGCACAGCUGCUGGCGCAGUUUGGGCCGCAGAUGAGAGAGCAGCUGUGCUUGCAAAGUGUGUGCAGAGCUCUGUGCGAGGCUGCAGCCAGGCUGGUGCUGAGGGGGAUCUCUGGGGCCUGGCUCCAGGCCUGCACCCCUGCAGAAGCAUCACUCCAGCCGCCUGGUGCAGAUGACAGCACAGUGGAGGAAACACACCAGGACCUUGCAGAGCCCUGCAGCCACUCCAAGCCUUCACUGCCCGACACCAGCAACCUCUCCCUCUCCUCCCUGCUCAUCAAAACACUUUCAGAGAAACUUGUGUCCCUUUUUCCCACCAGCGACUUCAAUGCUGAGAAUGUUUCCUUGGUGAGGGACAUAAUAGGAAAACUAUUGCCAACNNNNNNNNNNNNNNNNNNNNNNNNNNNNNNNNNNNNNNNNNNNNNNNNNNNNNNNNNNNNNNNNNNNN
rnacentral:lncRNA from 1 species